rnacentral:rRNA from 1 species
AUUGAACGCUGGCGGCAGGCUUAACACAUGCAGGUCGAGCGGAGCGAGGGUGCUUGCACCUUAGCUUAGCGGCGGACGGGUGAGUAAUGCUUAGGAAUCUGCCUAUUAGUGGGGGACAACAUUCCGAAAGGAAUGCUACUACCGCAUACGCCCUACGAGGGAAAGCAGGGGAUAUUCGGACCUUGCGCUAAUAGAUGAGCCUAAGUCGGAUUAGCUAGUUGGUGGGGUAAAGGCCUACCAAGGCGACGAUCUGUAGCGGGUCUGAGAGGAUGAUCCGCCACACUGGGACUGAGACACGGCCCAGACUCCUACGGGAGGCAGCAGUGGGGAAUAUUGGACAAUGGGCGGAAGCCUGAUCCAGCCAUGCCGCGUGUGUGAAGAAGGCCUUUUGGUUGUAAAGCACUUUAAGCGAGGAGGAGGCUACUUAGAUUAAUACUCUGGGAUAGUGGACGUUACUCGCAGAAUAAGCACCGGCUAACUCUGUGCCAGCCGCCGCCGUAAAAC